rnacentral:rRNA from 1 species
GACGUAGGGCGCGAGCGUUGUCCGGAUUUAUUGGGCGUAAAGAGCUCGUAGGCGGCUUGUCACGUCGGUUGUGAAAGCCCGGGGCUUAACCCCGGGUCUGCAGUCGAUACGGGGCAGGCUAGAGUGUGGUAGGGGAGAUCGGAAUUCCUGGUGUAGCGGUGAAAUGCGCAGAUAUCAGGAGGAACACCGGUGGCGAAGGCGGGACUCUGGGCCGAUACUGACGCUGAGGAGCGAAAGCGUGGGGAGCAAACAGG